UACGUAGGUGGCAAGCGUUGUUCGGAAUUAUUGGGCGUAAAGGGCGCGUAGGCGGUUUGUUAAGUCGGCUGUGAAAGCCCGGGGCUCAACCCCGGAGGGUCAGCCGAUACUGGCAGACUAGAGUACGGAAGAGGUAGCUGGAAUUCCCGGUGUAGCGGUGAAAUGCGUAGAUAUCGGGAGGGACACCGGUGGCGAAGGCGGCAUCCUGGACCGGUAUUGACGCUGAUGCGCGAAAGCCAGGGGAGCAAACGGG
rnacentral:rRNA from 1 species